CCUACGGGAGGCAGCAGUGGGGAAUCUUGCGCAAUGGGCGAAAGCCUGACGCAGCAACGCCGCGUGCGGGAAGAAGGCUUUCGGGCUGUAAACCGCUUUCAGCAGGAACGAAAAUGACGGUACCUGCAGAAGAAGGAGCGGCCAACUAUGUGCCAGCAGCCGCGGUGAUACAUAGGCUUCAAGCGUUGUCCGGAUUUAUUGGGCGUAAAGAGUUCGUAGGCGGUCGAGUAAGUCGGGUGUGAAAAUUCUGGGCUCAACCCAGAGACGCCACCCGAUACUGCUUGACUUGAGUUCGAUAGGGGAGUGGGGAAUUCCUAGUGUAGCGGUGAAAUGCGCAGAUAUUAGGAGGAACACCGGUGGCGAAGGCGCCACUCUGGAUCGAUACUGACGCUGAGGAACGAAAGCAUGGGUAGCAAACAGGAUUAGAUACCCUGGUAGUCCAUGCCGUAAACGGUGGGCACUAGGUGUGGGUUUCUAUUAACGAAAUCCGCGCCGUCGCUAACGCAUAGUGCCCGCCGUCGGGAGGUACGGUCGCGAGACUAAACUUAAACUAGUAAUUAGUACGGCGUGAGACGUCGCCGACGGACGACCGACCGAAGGGGAGGUAGGGU
rnacentral:rRNA from 1 species